rnacentral:tRNA from 1 species
GGUAUGUGGCUCAGUGGUAGAGUGCUUGCCUAGCAUAUGUGAGGCCCUGGGUUCAGUCGCCAGCACCA